rnacentral:rRNA from 1 species
GGCAGGCCUAACACAUGCAAGUCGAGCGGUAGCACAGAGAGCUUGCUCUCGGGUGACGAGCGGCGGACGGGUGAGUAAUGUCUGGGAAACUGCCUGAUGGAGGGGGAUAACUACUGGAAACGGUAGCUAAUACCGCAUAAUGUCGCAAGACCAAAGUGGGGGACCUUCGGGCCUCAUGCCAUCAGAUGUGCCCAGAUGGGAUUAGCUAGUAGGUGGGGUAAUGGCUCACCUAGGCGACGAUCCCUAGCUGGUCUGAGAGGAUGACCAGCCACACUGGAACUGAGACACGGUCCAGACUCCUACGGGAGGCAGCAGUGGGGAAUAUUGCACAAUGGGCGCAAGCCUGAUGCAGCCAUGCCGCGUGUGUGAAGAAGGCCUUCGGGUUGUAAAGCACUUUCAGCGGGGAGGAAGGCGGUGAGGUUAAUAACCUCAUCGAUUGACGUUACCCGCAGAAGAAGCACCGGCUAACUCCGUGCCAGCAGCCGCGGUAAUACGGAGGGUGCAAGCGUUAAUCGGAAUUACUGGGCGUAAAGCGCACGCAGGCGGUCUGUCAAGUCGGAUGUGAAAUCCCCGGGCUCAACCUGGGAACUGCAUUCGAAACUGGCAGGCUAGAGUCUUGUAGAGGGGGGUAGAAUUCCAGGUGUAGCGGUGAAAUGCGUAGAGAUCUGGAGGAAUACCGGUGGCGAAGGCGGCCCCCUGGACAAAGACUGACGCUCAGGUGCGAAAGCGUGGGGAGCAAACAGGAUUAGAUACCCUGGUAGUCCACGCCGUAAACGAUGUCGAUUGGAAGUUGUGCCCUUGAGGCGUGGCUUCCGGAGCUAACGCGUUAAAUCGACCGCCUGGGGAGUACGGCCGCAAGGUUAAAACUCAAAUGAAUUGACGGGGGCCCGCACAAGCGGUGGAGCAUGUGGUUUAAUUCGAUGCAACGCGAAGAACCUUACCUGGUCUUGACAUCCACAGAACUUUCCAGAGAUGGAUUGGUGCCUUCGGGAACUGUGAGACAGGUGCUGCAUGGCUGUCGUCAGCUCGUGUUGUGAAAUGUUGGGUUAAGUCCCGCAACGAGCGCAACCCUUAUCCUUUGUUGCCAGCGGUUAGGCCGGGAACUCAAAGGAGACUGCCAGUGAUAAACUGGAGGAAGGUGGGGAUGACGUCAAGUCAUCAUGGCCCUUACGACCAGGGCUACACACGUGCUACAAUGGCAUAUACAAAGAGAAGCGACCUCGCGAGAGCAAGCGGACCUCAUAAAGUAUGUCGUAGUCCGGAUUGGAGUCUGCAACUCGACUCCAUGAAGUCGGAAUCGCUAGUAAUCGUAGAUCAGAAUGCUACGGUGAAUACGUUCCCGGGCCUUGUACACACCGCCCGUCACACCAUGGGAGUGGGUUGCAAAAGAUAGUAUGGUAGUCUUAACUCUUCAGGGAGCGGCGUCUUACCCACGUUUGUGAUUCAUGACUGGGGUGAAGUCGUAACAAGG